GUACUGUGGCCACAGACCCUUUUUCUUCUCCUUAGUCAUGGGUUCAUAGCUGUAAUCAGAACACUUAUCUAAAUUGUGGCUCAAGGAUUUUAGAGAUAGUUGAAACUUCCUUCAAUUUUUAAAGACAAACAAAACAAAUAGUUCAAAUCAAUGCUAGCAUCCAAAGAAACAAACAAACCAGUUCACAACACAAAACAAAUUAGCUUAUUCCAGAGAAAAAGCCCCAGAAAGAAAACUCGCUUUCCAGUUGUACACACUGGAGUGACUUACCCUAUUGCAUUGAGCCCGUCGACUACCAAAUGCUGAUCCCUUAUUCCAGCUGCCAUGUACUGAGGCAGCCAGUGCUGCUUUAGGAAAUUCUGAAGGGCAGAUCCUCAAGACAAGUGGUCCCAGCAGCUGCUAGGGCCUUACUGGAAAAUUCCCUAACCAGGGUUGGCUGUCCACAAGCAGUUAGUCUCCUGGCUGGCUCUACUAAAGUUUUUUACUGAGUCCAAGCUUAUACUGGUCUGAUCUGAUACUGGUCACUGCACAAUGGACCAAUAAAUCAAGAGAUGAGUUGUUGGGACAAGGAAUUGCAACUUGAUUUGGAAAGCCAGCAGACCCAGAAGAUGACGCUCUAGUGUCCCAAAGAACCAUGUUUCCGGAGUUAGGAAUCAGGCUUCUUUUACACUGAAAGAGGAGGGGCUAAAGUUCUGGUUCCAGCCAGACUCCGGAAAGGGAUGUGUUAAUUUCUUCUUGCCUGCAACCAUUCACAGGUGCUCCUCAUGGAAUAAGUGUGUAACUCACAUGUAAGCAGACUUGACAUAGGAUGACAAGGUUGGUUUUAGAAAAGGCAGAGGAACCAGAGAUCAAAUUGCCAACAUCUGCUGGAUCAUCAAAAAAGCAAUAGAGUUCCAGAAAAACAUCUAUUUCUGCUUUAUUGACUAUGCCAAAGCCUUUGACUGUGUGGAUCACAAUAAACUGUGGAAAAUUCUGAAAGAGAUGGGAAUACCAGACCACACCUGACCUGCCUCUUGAGAAACCUAUAUGC
ensembl:lncRNA